GCUAGAAAAGGACCCAGGAGCGUCUUGUUAGCUCCCAGCCCUGGCACCAAGGCUAGCCCAGUUUCCAGCAGGCACGUGUAAGAAGCAAUUUCAUAGUUGAGAGGCUGUCUAUGCGAAGUGGCCACGGUGAGGUCAGCCUCUGUUGUGGAAGUUCACCCACUGAGAGCAGCCUCUAGGGGCUCUUGAAGGAGUCAGUGUGCUAGAGGCUCACCAUAGAGCCCGACUGGACCUCCUCACCCAGCUCUGCCUCCUUUUCCAGAAAGCCAUGUGACCACGGACAUCUUCAUGCAGAAGGGAGUUUAAAAAAUAUAUAUAUAAUAAUAAUAAUAGAGAAAAUAAGAGCCCCCUCCCCCUCUCCAAGACAGGAUGCAAAAUGUCUUUAUUCUGGCACAGGUUUGAGUUUGCCCAGCCAUGAAGGAAGGUGUUUCAUUAAUCAGAGGGAACCAACCAGCUUGGAGAAAGCCCACCUCCUUCUCCCCGCGGGGAUCGCGCACCGCUCCACUAGGUGUACUGCUGCCACCUAGCGGUGAGAAGAACACGCUGAGGCGUAAACCAAGGAAAGGAUAAGAGGGACAGUGACCUCUCCAGGUCUAAACUCCAGAUCUUUGGAGACGGUUGUCUUUGCUCAUCUCUUCCUGCGCCUUCUCAGAGUGAUUUCUGCAAGCCUCGAUUUGUAUUCCACACUGGCAGUGGGUUUUCCCAGCCAUCCUCCUGGGAACACGAGUCUAUUCUCUGCAUAAAAGCAAAGAUACAAUUAAAGCUACGCAUCAGAGAGCAAUGAAAGGAACAACUCGCAUUACCAUGGAGAGGAUGCUACCGAACAAGGCGGUUUCUGCAAACGUUCUCUGCUCACCGUAGCCCCAAACGCAGAAGAGAUGCUCCUGGUGCCUGCCUGCCUCUGCAGCCACCUGAGUCGGGUUCGCCUCAAAACACCAGGAUCUGCCCACAAAAUACGCCGUCUUCCUCGGGGGCCUGGUCCAGAGACUACGGUGUUUCCCCUAGUUCUCCGUGUAUCAUCCCACGUUUGCUUUCCUCGAAGACCGGAGGCAUUGGCUCCUGUGUUCCUAUCAGAUAGCCUUCCUCGGAUGAACCCGGACGGCCUGCUUUUCUGCCGCUGGUUCAGAUUCUAAUGUCUUGCUGUUUACUCAGCAGCAGAAAGAGGAAACAGACAUUUUGGUCCAUAAUUCAUCUCAACGGUUUCAUGGAAAGGCUUGGAAACUAUGACUCUAUGAAAUUGAUACAGGUUAAGUGACCAGGGCCACAUUAUGGUUUUUGUGGGUCCUAACUACUUUUGCAUUUGUGAGCUUCUCCUCCAUUAAAAUAUAAAAACUUGUGUUUUA